GUAGGGGGCAAGCGUUGUCCGGAAUCAUUGGGCGUAAAGAGCGUGUAGGCGGCUUGGUAAGUCGGCUGUGAAAGUCAGGGGCUCAACCCUUGAAUGCCGGCCGAUACUGUCAAGCUAGAGUCCGGAAGAGGCGAGUGGAAUUCCUGGUGUAGCGGUGAAAUGCGCAGAUAUCAGGAGGAACACCGAUGGCGAAGGCAGCUCGCUGGGACGGUACUGACGCUGAGACGCGAAAGCGUGGGGAGCAAACAGGAUUAGAUACCCUGGUAGUCCACGCCGUAAACGAUGGGCACUAGGUGUGGGAGGUGUCGACUCCUUCCGUGCCGAAGCUAACGCAUUAAGUGCCCCGCCUGGGGAGUACGGCCGCAAGGCUAAA
rnacentral:rRNA from 1 species